GACGAACGCUGGCGGUGUGCUUAACACAUGCAAGUCGAACGGAAAGGCCCUGCUUUUGUGGGGUGCUCGAGUGGCGAACGGGUGAGUAACACGUGAGUAACCUGCCCUUGACUUUGGGAUAACUUCAGGAAACUGGGGCUAAUACCGGAUAGGAGCUCCUGCUGCAUGGUGGGGGUUGGAAAGUUUCGGCGGUUGGGGCUGGACUCGCGGCUUAUCAGCUUGUUGGUGGGGUAGUGGCUUACCAAGGCUUUGACGGGUAGCCGGCCUGAGAGGGUGACCGGCCACAUUGGGACUGCGAUACGGACCAGACUACUACGGGAGGCAGCAGUGGGGAAUAUUGCACAAUGGGCGGAAGCCUGAUGCAGCAACGCCGCGUGCGGGAUGACGGCCUUCGGGUUGUAAACCGCUUUGGCCUGUGACGAAGAGGGAGUGACGGUAAUGGGUAAAGAAGCACCGGCUAACUACGUG
rnacentral:rRNA from 1 species